GCACCCGUAGCUCAACUGGAUAGAGCGUCCCCCUCCGGAGGGGAAGGUUGGGGGUUCAAAUCCCCCCGGGUGCA
rnacentral:tRNA from 1 species